AUUGAGCGCUGGCGGCAUACCUUACACAUGCAAGUCGAACGGUAGAGGGGGCAACCUCUCGAGAGUGGCGAACGGGUGAGUAAAGCAUCGGAACGUGCCCAGUAGUGGGGGAUAGCCCGGCGAAAGCCGGAUUAAUACCGCAUGAGACCUACGGGUGAAAGGGGGGGAUCGCAAGACCUCUCGCUAUUGGAGCGGCCGAUGUCAGAUUAGGUAGUUGGUGGGGUAAAGGCCUACCAAGCCGACGAUCUGUACCUGGUCUGAGAGGACGACCAGCCACACUGGGACUGGGACACGGCCCAGACUCCUACGGGAGGCAGCAGUGGGGAAUUUUGGACAAUGGGCGAAAGCCUGAUCCAGCCAUGCCGCGUGCGGGAAGAAGGCCUUCGGGUUGUAAACCGCUUUUGUCAGGGAAGAAAUCCUUUGAGUUAAUACCUCGGGGGGAUGACGGUACCUGGAGAAUAAGCACCGGCUAACUACGUGCCAGCCGCCGCAGUAA
rnacentral:rRNA from 1 species